rnacentral:rRNA from 1 species
CGGGGCGAUCAUACCAGUCACUAAUGCAUCGGAUCUCCAUCAGAACUCCGCAGUCUAGCGCGCUUGGGCAAGAGUAGUACUAGGAUGAGGUGAACUUCUUGCGAAGUCCUCGAUGUUGCACCCC